UACGGCAUGUACUUUUUUAAAACUUAUUGUUGGAUAAAUUGUUUUUACAAAUGGCCGCGAUAUUUUCGAACAAUAGUGAUGCCAAAAUUAAAAAAAAUAAUUGAUAGUCCUGAAAACACAGUGUUGUAUUUGAUUUGAUAAAAGUGCAAAUGGGCCAAAUAUAUAUUUAUUUGCUUCCCACACAUGCCUGGCGCAUUCCUGGUGUAAUUCAAGAGAAAACCACUAUUAGACGUGGUUAGACGGAAAUAAAGUUGACAAAAAAAAAUCUAGAAAAUGGAAUAAUAUUUUAUUUCAAUAAUUUUUAAAUAAAUAAUAAAUUAUAGUGUGAAUUAAAAGAAUGCAAAGCAGAAAAAUCGAGAAUGUGAAUAUAUAAAUGAACGAAUUAUACAUGCGGAACGCACUUGAAAAUGGAGAAGGCGGUAGAAAUUAAAUGAGAAAUUAGGCAUCUUAAUAUUGACCAACAGAUACACAACUUCCAAAUACGACUUUUUUCAAUAUUAAAUUAAUUUCUUCUUUGUACAAUGGAAGAACACCGAACAGUCCCUUUGCUAAUUAUCCAUCUACCCGUAUAUAUUGGUCUUUUAAUGACUUUGUUUGAAGGCUCAUUGACAGCAGUCAAAAAUGCAAUCCAGGUUGAAGAAGUUGACUUGGUAUUGUUGGUCAUCUACAUAGUGUUACCAAUUUGUUAACCAAUGAAAUCCAUAUAUUUAUAUCAUUAAGACCCUCUCCGCUUGUCAUAUAAACUAGUAUUUUGUUUUUAAUAAAAAUACAAAAUAUUUAAAUGCAA